AGAGUUGUUUGUCUUUGAGAGCACAAUACAGUAGUAUCAAAAAGAUGUGACUUGAAGGUGUUCCUCAGGAUACUCAGCAUAUGCACAGAGGCAUGUGAAUAUACAACAAGGAAUCUCUACGUUUAGUAAGAAGAGAGAAUACUCUACAGAUAUGAUUUGUUGAAUCUUUGACCAAAGUAUAGGAUGAGAAUUGAAACAAGAAUGUUUGCAAUACAUCCAAGUGAAUCAUAUAAACUAGAAAUGUCGUGUGAGGGAUUUGACACGAGUUAACCAUAUCCC
rnacentral:lncRNA from 1 species